GACGAACGCUGGCGGCGUGCCUUACACAUGCAAGUCGAACGGUAACGCGGGGCAACCUGGCGACGAGUGGCGAACGGGUGAGUAAAGCAUCGGAACGUGCCCAGUAGUGGGGGAUAGCCCGGCGAAAGCCGGAUUAAUACCGCAUACGACCUAAGGGUGAAAGGGGGGGAUCGCAAGACCUCCCGCUAUUGGAGCGGCCGAUGUCAGAUUAGGUAGUUGGUGGGGUAAAGGCCUACCAAGCCGACGAUCUGUAGCUGGUCUGAGAGGACGACCAGCCACACUGGGACUGAGACACGGCCCAGACUCCUACGGGAGGCAGCAGUGGGGAAUUUUGGACAAUGGGCGCAAGCCUGAUCCAGCCAUGCCGCGUGCGGGAAGAAGGCCUUCGGGUUGUAAACCGCUUUGUCAGGGAAGAAACGCUCUGGGUGAAUACCCUGGGGUAAUGACGGUACCUGAAGAAUAAGCACCGGCUAACUACGUG
rnacentral:rRNA from 1 species